CCAGACCUAAAUGAACAUAAUCAACGUUAUUCCAUUCUCCUCGUUUUCUAAGAUCAUUGUGAGAGGAAAAGGAUUAGCUUACCACCGAUUAUAGAUACAUGAUCCUUGCCGCGCGACGAUCUAUCGAAACCGAUUUUUAUUUCUAAAAACAGAUGAUAUAUAUGUGAGUGCACUGCUAUUAUUUCUGCUACAAUUAUUUUAUUACUAUCUUUUAUUACAUAUCGAAUAUAUGUGUACGAUAUAUGUAUUCUAUGUAUAUAUAUAGAUUCAAAGUGACGUGUACGGGGUAAUUUAAGUAGAGGUGGUCUAUCAUGAAAGACGAACUAUGUAUUUUCUGAACAAACGUGUUAAAUACGUCGAUAUUGUUAUGCUAAUUACAAUCGAACGUAUCUGUGAAACGAAGAUUAAAAUCGCUUGGAAAAAUCCAUUACGAUUGUUAACACAGCAGGGAUUAUUUACAUUUCUUCAGUUUAUCGUGUUAUUCUAUUUCAUUUUAGUAAUAUCUUAUUAUUCAUUUAUUACUAGGUCAUAAGUUUAGUAGAUUAGUAUUUUCAAAUGCUUAAAAAAGGAGUAUAUUUGUACGUCCAUUCCUGCACUCUGACAUCGAAGAAAACGAGUGUACACGUAAAACGUUGAUCAAAAUUUCAUGUCGAUCGAUUACUAUUUUAAGAAGAUACACUAUUUUAAGAAGAUUUCGAUGCACUUGGAAAUGUCUAAGAAAGGGAGCGGCUUUGAGGAAGAAAAUGGCAGCGGAAAUGUGUAAGGAAGAAAGCGACUUUGAGGAAGAAAAUGACAGCGGAAAUGUUUGCGGAAGAAAAGAGACAUUUUCGAUCAAACCUUCGGUACGAGAAGACAAACAUGUCCUUGUUGAUUUCAUUACAAAUAUACGCUAUAUGCGUUAUACAUUACAGAUACAUGUUACAACUUGCAGUGCAAGUUUUUUUUUCAGCAAAUUGAGAUCGUAAAUCGUAUACGUAAGUGUGAAAAAAAAAUAUUAGGGACACUGAGAUAAUUAUAUUUAUAGUAAUUAUAUUUAGCAUUCUACUCUACUGAUAACGUAUUGCUUUUUCAGAUACUACUCGUAACAUUUGAAUCUAAAGAAACCACAGGCCGGUGUCCCAACUCAUUGUAAUUUCACGUUCGAAAUGUUGCAGCGGCUUUUAGAAUGCAGAGAUUUAGAAGAUACUUGUAGAUUUAGAACGCGCAGAUUUGUAAUGGAAAUUUAAAGAGGCCUUUGGCGUUAACGAAAGAGGAAUGGACUACGAUCCCAGAUGCAUACAUAUAGUUCAUGGACUGAACCCAUUAAAUGGAACCACGCUAAACUCACAGAAAAAUCAGUUAUUUUUAGACGACUUUUAUAAAUAAUGCACCUCCAACAAUUCAAAUCGAUAACUCGAGAUACAGCUUCGGUGGUAUUUCAUUAUUUAAACAAUAGAAAAAUACUUAUAAUACUAAUUAUUAGAUGGUUGGUCUUAGGACAAAAAGGGAAAAGACACAUAAAAACAGUCGAUAUAAGAAUUAAUGAGCUAGAAAGUUAAGCCACUUUUACGUUCAGUCGCAACGGAAAAACUGACAAAGUGUCGCGUACAGGUGACAGUUCUUCCUUUUUAUCGCAUGAGUCUGUAAGAGAGAUGGAAGCGAACUCGUCUUCCGACGAGGAGUCGCAAGAUUUCAGCUCUGAAACGCUUGGUAAGGUGCAUAAGAAAAUCGAAAAUGAGAAAGAAAGGCGUAUGAACAUUGAUAUAGAGACAAUGACGAAAUACAAGAAACGUGUCAUUUCAUAUCUAGCAAAAUUAGCUUCCAUGGUACAGUUACGCUCUUCCUGCGACGCAAGUUAAACGAGCUUUUUCAACUCCGAAUCUAAGUGAACAUCUCGAGAGGUAACUUAUCUUCACAAAAUUAACAUAAAUUUAUGUUUCUGAAAAUUAACUUGGAUUUUAGGCAAUAGUUAUAUAUGUACAAAUAUCAAAUAAAGAAUGAAGUUGUAAUAACUUUUGUUUUAUUCUAUGCUUUAACAUUUGUAUAAGUUUUUUGCUUAUUAAAAUGAUAUAAGUUUUAUAAUUCAUUUUAUGUCAUUGAUAAAUAAAAUGCAUCAAAAUUAGACUCCAUUGUUUGAUAUUUCGCAGGAGAUUUUAGAAGAAUGUUUGAGAUUAAUAUACUUGUAAUUUUUAUAAAUAAACUUAAAUGAAGAGACUCUUUCAUUUAAUUAUUUGUAACACGCGAAGACUAUUCCUCGCUACAGACUCAACGUAUCGAAAUUUAUUCCUGUUAAUUAUAUUUAUAUUGUAAAACAUACAUGUGUUAAAAUAAGUCUUCUGUUACAUACCUGAAGUUUAUCUUAAUGUACACGAAGCUUAUUUUAAUAUUUCUAAAUAAUCAUCUACGUUGAAUAGUCUGAACUUGCAAUAAAAAAGUUCAAAUGUUCAAACUCGUGGCAUUUUUAUAAGACCAUCAUUCUCUACACUUCUUCUUAUAUUAGCUUCCUGUAAUUUUUUACAUGUUUUCUGAUGGAACCA